rnacentral:rRNA from 1 species
UGGGGAAUCUUCCGCAAUGGGCGCAAGCCUGACGGAGCAACGCCGCGUGAGUGAAGAAGGCCUUCGGGUCGUAAAGCUCUGUCUUCAGGGAAGAACAACUAUAGUGUAAAUAAUGCUAUAGCCUGACGGUACCUGAGGAGGAAGCUCCGGCUAACUACGUGCCAGCAGCCGCGGUAAUACGUAGGGAGCAAGCGUUGUCCGGAAUUACUGGGCGUAAAGGGCGUGUAGGCGGGAAUUGAAGUAAGGUGUGAAAACUCCGGGCUCAACUUGGAGACUGCACUGUAAACUGGAUUUCGUGAGGGCAGGAGAGGAAAGUGGAAUUCCGAGUGUAGCGGUGAAAUGCGUAGAUAUUAGGAGGAACACCAGUGGCGAAGGCGACUUUCUGGACUGUACCUGACGCUGAGGCGCGAAAGCGUGGGGAGCGAACA